rnacentral:rRNA from 1 species
GUGGGGAAUAUUGGACAAUGGGGGAAACCCUGAUCCAGCAAUGCCGCGUGGGUGAUGAAGGCCUUCGGGUUGUAAAGCCCUUUUGGCGGGGACGAUGAUGACGGUACCCGCAGAAGAAGCCCCGGCUAACUUCGUGCCAGCAGCCGCGGUAAUACGAAGGGGGCUAGCGUUGUUCGGAAUUACUGGGCGUAAAGGGCGCGUAGGCGGCUUCGAUAGUCGGGCGUGAAAUGCCUGGGCUCAACCCAGGAACUGCGCUCGAAACUCCGAGGCUAGAGUGUGGGAGAGGAUAGUGGAAUUCCCAGUGUAGAGGUGAAAUUCGUAGAUAUUGGGAAGAACACCGGUGGCGAAGGCGGCUAUCUGGACCACAACUGACGCUGAGGCGCGAAAGCGUGGGGAGCAAACAGGAUUAGAUACCCCAGUAGUCC